GCAUUUUCCCAUCUAGUUCUAUAUGGCACCCAAAGAGGCAGCCUCGGAGGCAGAAGGCUGGCUGUGUAUGUGUGUAUGAGUAUCACAUGUGUGUGCCUUGAGCAGGACUGAAGGUUAAGCCUGGGCUCUGAGGAAUGGUAGGCAAGGCUCUGUCAUGGACCUACAGCCUACGCUCUGUCUUGACACUGUGUAGCCAGGGAAACAUUAAAAUAACUUUAGUCUGUAGUUAGGGAAUGGAAAGCCCAGUGAGGCCGAGGAACUUGGCUGCCAGGCUCUGGGUGAGUGGAAACCAGAGAAACUUAGCAGCCAGACAGUCCCCAAGAAGGGAAGACAGGGCAGCCACCUGCGGAGACUAAGCAGUUCCACCCUCUGUGACAGGAAUCCCAGGAGCAGAGCAGUUGGUAAGUGACGAGGGGGAGCCAGAGACUCCAUCCAGAAGCUCAAGAUCAAACCGAGAGUGGCCCCCAGCAACUGUCAUGCAUGCUGUCCCCAAGACAACCACGGCUUACGCUCCUCUCUCCCUCUCUGCACUCCUCUGGGACUGAAGAGAUGGCUCAUUGCACUUCUCGCUCUUGCAGAGGACCCAGGUUCGGUUCCCAACCCUCACCUGAGGCAGCUUACAACCAUUCUCACGCCUGCACACCUCACACAAGCACACAUGCACGCACAUGCACGCACAUGCAC